AUCUAUAGGUGGCUGAAAGAAGAGAAGCUAAGUCUGUGCUCAGUGUUCUGACCUGUGAACAUCUGAAUAAAGCAAGUCUGAGACA
ensembl:snoRNA Gm22999 predicted gene, 22999